AUUGAACGCUGGCGGCAGGCCUAACACAUGCAAGUCGAACGAGUGGCGGACGGGUGAGGAAUGUCUGGGAAACUGCCUGAUGGAGGGGGAUAAAUACUGGAAACGGGAGCUAAUACCGCAUACCAUCGGAUGUGCCCAGAUGGGAUUAGAUAGUAGGUGGGGUAAAGGCUCACCUAGGCGACGAUCCCUCGCUGGUCUGAGAGGAUUACCAGCCACCCUGGAACUGAGACACUGUCCAGACUCCUACGGUAGGCAGCAGUGGGGAAUAUUGCACAAUGGGCGCAAGCCUGAUGCAGCCAUGCCGCGUGUAUGAAGAAGGCCUUCGGGUUGUAAAGUACUUUCAGCGGGGAGGCGUUACCCGCUGAAGAAGCACCGGCUAACUCCGUGCCAGCAGCCGCGGUAAUUC
rnacentral:rRNA from 1 species